rnacentral:rRNA from 1 species
AACUAACGCUGGCGGCGCGUCUUAAACAUGCAAGUCGAGCGGCAGCACUUCGGGUGGCGAGCGGCGAACGGGUGAGUAACACGUAGGUAAUUUGCCCACGGAUGGGGGAUAACCUUUCGAAAGGAAGGCUAAUACCGCAUAACACCAUGGUUACCACGGUAAUUAUGGUCAAAGCAGCAAUGCGUCUGGGGAGAAGCCUGCGUCCGAUUAGGUAGUUGGUGAGGUAACGGCUCACCAAGCCAGCGAUCGGUAGCCGGCCUGAGAGGGUGAACGGCCACACUGGAACUGGGACACGGUCCAGACUCCUACGGGAGGCAGCAGUUAAGAAUCUUGCGCAAUGGAGGCAACUCUGACGCAGCGACGCCGCGUGUGCGAUGAAGGCCCUCGGGUUGUAAAGCACAACAAACAGGGAAGAAGAAAGUGACGGUACCUGUCUGAAGCACCGGCUAACUACGUGCCAGCCGCCGCGGUAAAAC